AAGUCGUAACAAGGUUUCCGUAGGUGAACCUGCGGAAGGAUCAUUAUCAGAUUCUGCCUGUCAGUUAUCUUAUCCCGUGUGAACUGUACCCUUAGACUUGGCGUCUGUGAUUGUUCUCUCACCUCUUUGAGGAGGGAGUUUAAUCUGUUCGCCUACUUUUUACCCUUUAAAAAUUGAUAACUGAGUAUACCCACAAGACUAGAAAACUUUUAGCAACGGAUCUCUAGGCUCUU
rnacentral:misc_RNA from 1 species